UGUGACCAUGGAGGCAGAGAUGGCAGUGAUGCAGCUACAAGCCAAGGAACGCCAGGAUUGCCGAGGGCUACCAGAAGCUAGGAAGGGACAGUGAAGGUUUAUACCCUCGAGUCUUCAGAGGGAGCCUGCCUGGCCUGCACCUGGCUUCCAGAAUGGUGUCCUCUCCGAGUCUGUUUCCAGGCUUCCCUCUCAGCAGACACCAUUAUACUGGGGCAGGGCCACCCUAGUGACCUUGUUGGGACUUGAUUCCAUCUGCAAGAUCCUCAUCUCCAAAUAAGAUCGCAUUUGAUGCCUUUUCUCUGUCCAGAAGAGCCUAAAC